UGGAUUUGGAAUUUGUAGACU
rnacentral:piRNA from 1 species